rnacentral:rRNA from 1 species
UACGUAGGGGGCGAGCGUUAUCCGGAUUCAUUGGGCGUAAAGCGCGCGUAGGCGGCCCGUUAGGUCGGGAGUCAAAUCCGGGGGCUCAACCCCCGUCCGCUCCCGAUACCGGCGGGCUUGAGUCUGGUAGGGGAAGGUGGAACUCCAAGUGUAGCGGUGGAAUGCGCAGAUAUUUGGAAGAACACCGGUGGCGAAGGCGGCCUUCUGGGCCACGACUGACGCUGAGGCGCGAAAGCUAGGGGAGC